rnacentral:rRNA from 1 species
CCUACGGGUGGCAGCAGUGGGGAAUAUUGGACAAUGGGCGAAAGCCUGAUCCAGCCAUGCCGCGUGUGUGAAGAAGGCCUUCGGGUUGUAAAGCACUUUCAGUGGGGAAGAAAGCCUUGGGGCUAAUACCCUCGAGGAAGGACAUCACCCACAGAAGAAGCACCGGCUAACUCCGUGCCAGCAGCCGCGGUAAUACGGAGGGUGCGAGCGUUAAUCGGAAUUACUGGGCGUAAAGCGCGCGUAGGCGGUCUGAUAAGCCGGUUGUGAAAGCCCCGGGCUCAACCUGGGAACGGCAUCCGGAACUGUCAGGCUAGAGUGUAGGAGAGGAAGGUAGAAUUCCCGGUGUAGCGGUGAAAUGCGUAGAGAUCGGGAGGAAUACCAGUGGCGAAGGCGGCCUUCUGGACUGACACUGACGCUGAGGUGCGAAGGCGUGGGUAGCAAACAGGAUUAGAUACCCCAGUAGUC